UUAUGACUUAAUACUCAAUAAAUUUAACUAACAUGAAUAAAUUAAUAUUUUUUUUUGGUUUGGAAUCACAUCAGUGUAAAAUAAAUAUAUUCUUUUUUCGAAAAACCUCUUAUAAAUAUGUGUUCACAAUAUAAACAUAAUUUAAUAAUUAAUGUAUACAAAAUUUACAUUACUAUAAACAUAAUAUUUGAUUGUUUUUUUCACAUAGUAGUCCAUUUUUAGUUUUUUUUUUUAAAACCUCAACAUAUUUUGAUGUUAUUUUAUUAUUUUCCAUGCAAAAUUGCAUAUGCAUUUAAGGUACAUAAUUUCAAUACAUCAAAUGGUCGAAUAAAAUAACAUGAAA
rnacentral:lncRNA from 1 species